rnacentral:piRNA from 1 species
UGGCAUGUACAACCUUUUGACCCUGUGGC